rnacentral:miRNA from 1 species
UCUGUAUUAAGUACUUAGAGCCGCAUGAGUAUCGAUGAAUUCUCCUGCUGGCUUAGGUGCUUAACAUAGAGG